GGCCAGAUAGCACAGCGGUUAGUGCGCGGAUAUUUGAUGGGGUUAAUAGUAGCAUUCGAUCUGCAACCCUCGUUCAACUUGGGGUCUGGCCU